GCACACGCCCCCCCCAACCCCCUUCACUCCCUUUCCCUCAGGUCGCCUUCCCCGGGGUUGGGUGGUGGUGGUAUUGCGCUCCCCGCCCUAGAGAGCCCUGCCUCUCUCUUUUUCCCCUCCUCCUCCUCCUCCCCACACAAAACAACGCGCUCGAGCUGGAGCUCGCUCCGGACUAGUGGGGGAAAGCCGAGCGAAGAUGUCGGAGCGAGCGGGCAGAGGCGGGGUGUGGAUGGGUGGGCGGGCAGCUUCGGCUGAAAGGCGCUUUCUCUGUAAGAGAAGGGCUGGGAGGCCUCGGCGGCGGAGGGAUACGGCGCGCGCGGAGGCGGGAGGAGCGAUGGAAGGGGGGGUUGUGCGCGAGAGCGCGAGAGGCCCUUUGGCGGCGGUGGCGCUGGAAGUUGCUCAGUUUCAAUGUAGCCGAACUAGGAACCGAAUGAGGCAAAAAAAAAAUGCCCCCAGGGACCGCAGGCCCCACUGGGCGAGGCGGGCGUGAGAGGCUCCUCUCGGCCCUCGCCGUGCCAGGGCCUACUGGGGGAGGGGGGUGAGCAGGUCGGGCCCGUCCUCUCCAGGCUUUCUCUCUUCUUCCACAUGCCUCCUUGUCGCCUUUAAAUGCUACAGAUUCCCAUCUGCUUCUUUUCCUUUGUUAUUGACUCUCUCCCUCUGGCUUAAAGAGGAGCAUGAAAUGACUUCCUGGUGUUAUUAAAAGGUGCAAUGUCAACAUUUGCGUUUGCCCUGGUUUAUUACUUAGAUAGUGGGAGACUGCGGGUUAAGACAGCAAUAUUAUUAUGAAAGCAGACAAGUGAAAAGGGUGAAAAUGGAUGCAACCUAUGGCUGGACUUGAGUUGCAGCUUUGAACUAAAAUAAGGUAUGUAGUUUUCAAGUAAAUAAUCAAGUAAAUAAUAUGUUGUAUUAAUUAUUUUAUGAGUCAAGUUAUUAAGGCCCCAGCUCACAAAAGAGGCUGCAUAUAUGCUUAUUUCAGCACAAAACUGGAACUGUAGUAAGACUGCAAUCCUACACCAACUUACCCCGAAAUAAGCCCUACUAUCGGUGGGUCUUCCUUCUGAGUAAACUUGAAUAUGAUUGCAUUGCAAGAGCAAUUGCUACAGUAGUCUUUUGCAUCAUAUCACAAAAAAAGAAACCGUAUAUCUGGAAAAUGUAUGAAGGUAUGAUUUGCAGCAAGUCCCACACUGCUUUUAGUUAUUUAUGGAAUUAGAAAAAUUGAUAUCUAGAAGGUACACAUGUCAUCCUGAGAUGAGUAACAGAUUAAUACAGGAUUAAUAUUAAGUUAGAACUGAAGUGAUUUUGUACUACAAGCUUUUCUGUUUUAGCAUCUUCACCAUUUCAUUUUCCUACUAUUUUUGUGGCCCCCAUUUGAACCUGAUACUUUUAUUUUACAUUAUAGAAUUGCAUGAAGGUUUUAAUUUAAUCAAUCUUUUAAUAAAGUACUAUAUUUUUCAGUUACUCUGGAGCCUUAUAUUUAAGAUGUAGAAUGUGAAUAAAGGCCUUAAUAGGCACUGCUAAUAAGAUUUGCAAGUUUAUCCUGCUCUUUUUAUGGUUGCUUAUAUGUGU